ACUUAGCAUUUUUAUCUAGUUUCGACCUAGAGUUUCAAUGGCUAAGAU
rnacentral:tRNA from 1 species